rnacentral:rRNA from 1 species
ACGGGUGAGUAACACGUGGGCAACCUGCCUGUAAGACUGGGAUAACUUCGGGAAACCGGAGCUAAUACCGGAUAAUGCUUCUCCUCUCAUGAGGAGAAACUGAAAGAUGGUUUACGCUAUCACUUACAGAUGGGCCCGCGGCGCAUUAGCUAGUUGGUGAGGUAACGGCUCACCAAGGCGACGAUGCGUAGCCGACCUGAGAGGGUGAUCGGCCACACUGGGACUGAGACACGGCCCAGACUCCUACGGGAGGCAGCAGUAGGGAAUCUUCCGCAAUGGACGAAAGUCUGACAGAGCAACGCCGCGUGAGUGAUGAAGGUUUUCGGAUCGUAAAACUCUGUUGUUAGGGAAGAACAAGUACCGGAGUAACUGCCGGUACCUUGACGGUACCUAACCAGAAAGCCACGGCUAACUACGUGCCAGCAGCCGCGGUAAUACGUAGGUGGCAAGCGUUGUCCGGAAUUAUUGGGCGUAAAGCGCGCGCAGGCGGUCUCUUAAGUCUGAUGUGAAAGCCCCCGGCUCAACCGGGGAGGGUCAUUGGAAACUGGGAGACUUGAGUGCAGAAGAGAAGAGUGGAAUUCC